rnacentral:lncRNA from 1 species
CGCUCUGAGUCCAGUCCUUCACGACUUUAAAACACGUCAAUAGGGAGUAAGACUUGCUUACUUAUAUACCCAGCAUCUCUCCUGUGUUUUGUCGAUGUGAGACUUCUUCUCCUAAGUUAGGGUGUCACAAGUAACGGCGUCAGUAGUGGGUCAUCAUUUUUGACUUAAUUUUUCUCUCUUCCAAUUUCGCUACCUCGCUAUUUCUCUUUCGCUGUCAUUGUGUUGCUCUCGCACUACUGUAUGUGUGUGUGAAUCCAGUGAAGCGAGUGUGUAUGUUUUUGUGAGGGUGAGAGUAUCGGUGGUGAAAUAUAAAAAAUGGAGCUUCUGGUGCAUUGCUGCCUCAAAUCCAUGGAAAAUAGAGUUUCUUCUAUUUGUGGAUUGUUAUCUUGCUCUCUAUAUUGUGAGUGUAUCGUGAGAAUUGUAUGUACGUAUAUUGUUCUCUCUCCCAUUUCCAGUGAGGUGUGAGUAUAUUGUGUGUCCAGUGUAUUCGAGUGUAAUGGUGUGUAUGAGAAUGUUGAAGAUUGUGUAUUAGUGAGUGGAAAAAUUAGAAAAUCUAGUGGUGCAUAGUUUGUUUGCUGUGUGUUUUUAAUGGGAGUUGUGAGUGUGUGGAAUAUGUAUUUUAUGUGUAUUCUAUAUUGUGGAAGAUUCCAAAAUUAAGGUGGGUCCUGUUGUUGCUGCUGUCCAUUGCUAUUAUGGGAAAAAGAAUAAAAAAAUGUGGGGGGAGCCUAGAGGUAAAGGGGUUUAUGAGGGUGGGGUUGGGGGUUAGGAUAAGGUGGAGGGUGUUGAAAUUUAAUUGGUUGAAUAGUUAAUUUAUUUGGGCAGGGUGUCAAAGUUAUUACGAAUUUUGUUAGAUUUGUUAUUGUGUGUAAAUUAUCACAUGAGUGAAGGUUUAUGGUAAAGUGAAGGUAAAUAGGUAAAAACACACUUUCGGAGGAUAAUAUUACGUGUCUACAAAAGAUAAAAGAUGGAAAUAAGGU